rnacentral:rRNA from 1 species
AACGAACGCUGGCGGCAGGCCUAACACAUGCAAGUCGAGCGAGGUAGCAAUACCUAGCGGCGGACGGGUUAGUAACGCGUGGGAACGUGCCCAAAGGUACGGAAUAGCCUCGGGAAACUGAGAGUAAUACCGUAUGUGCCCUUCGGGGAAAGAUUUAUCGCCUUUGGAUCGGCCCGCGUUGGAUUAGGUAGUUGGUGGGGUAAUGGCCUACCAAGCCGACGAUCCAUAGCUGGUUUGAGAGGAUGAUCAGCAACACUGGGACUGAGACACGGCCCAGACUCCUACGGAGGCAGCAGUGGGAAUCUUAGACAAUGGGGAAACCCUGAUCUAGCCAUGCCGCGUGAGGGAGAAGGUCCUACUGGAUUGUAAACC